GACGAACGCUGGCGGCGUGCUUAACACAUGCAAGUCGAGCGAUGAAGUUUCUUCGGAAAUGGAUUAGCGGCGAACGGGUGAGGAACACGUGAAGAAUCUGCCCUCCACUUUGGGAUAACACAGGGAAACCUGUGCUAAUACCGAAUAUUUAAACAUAAGUGGCAUCACUGAGUUUUGAAAGAAUUUCGGUGGAGGAUGACUACGCGGCCUAUCAGCUAGUUGGUGAGGUAAUGGCUCACCAAGGCAACGACGGGUAGCCGGCCUGAGAGGGCGACCGGCCACACUGGGACUGAGACACGGCCAGACUCCUACGGGAGGCAGCAGUGGGGAAUAUUGGGCAAUGGAGGAAACUCUGACCCAGCGACGCCGCGUGCGGGAUGAAGGCCUUCGGGUUGUAAACCGCUUUCAGUAGGGAAGAAGCGAAAGUGACGGUACCUACAAAAGAAGCACCGGCUAACUAUGUGCCAGCCGCCGCCGUAA
rnacentral:rRNA from 1 species